rnacentral:lncRNA from 1 species
AAAGGUAGAAGUCAUUAUGAAUUUAUUAUUUACACGAUUGUUAAAGUACACAAAUACAGUGGCGAUACAAACGCACAGCUCGGAGACUGGCCGUCAGUGCACAGCUGACACGACGUCCUACCUACGUCUCCUGCACGGGGCGACGGGGACUAGAUACUGGGCAAGGACUGUCACAAGCACUCCGAAGACGCGACCCGGCGAGGCUCGGGCUGGAACCCGGGCGCAGAGCUGCCUCGCACAAACGUUCUGGGCACUACAUCGGGACCACAGAUAUUUACAAAGCAAGCUUGCGCCACUUCAGGCCACAGCGCGACGUCUCUCCGGGUGGGGGACGUCUACCUUCAAGAAGGGGUCCAGCAACAAAGAAAAUCUCUUAACUCGGCUCUGACCCACCCCAACCUCCCUCUGUACUUCAACACACAGCUCCCACCCGCUCAAGGCCCCGUACUCCAAAACGCUUACACAGUAACCAGCCUAGGAUUGAGAAAGCAUCCAUGGGCUCAGGCAGACGGCCAGCCAGCUGGUGGGGGGGUGAACAACUGUGUUCUGGGACGCCAGCCAGUUAUGGCAUCCGGGGAACUCUGGGGAGGAGAAGGGAGAACCAAGGUGCACACCUUCGAAGCCCUAGAGUCCAAAGGGAACAUCGUCCAUCGUGAUGGGGUCCAGCCGAAGUGCCCACGAACACAGACUGCCCUGCGCAUUGGGGUUGGGAGCACAUGGCCACUGGCUACCGCCCAAGUGCUGCGGAGUGAGAGGCGAGAAGGCAUCCUGGGAACCUCAGGGCACAGCAGCAUGGAGCCUGGGGCAGCACCAGCUCACGGAGGCCACCUGCCUUCUGGUGGGACUCGGCCCCACGCACGCUGCUUCACUUCUGACCAACAGACACGCGCCCAACAGAAGGUCACAGCGCAGACUCUACUUUCUGGCCGUGAAGGUUCUGGGUCCGGUUGGGAGAGUCACCUGCUCCUUGGCACCUCAGGGUGGGUCCUUCUGGCCUGCCGGCUUUUCUGAGCUAGUCUUGGCACGUGGCAAGGACAGCCCCGCUCCUGGUUUUAAGCACAGGCAUUCAUACAGACGGAGUGCCAAUCCGCACAGGAGCAUUGAGUGCUGAGAAAAUGGACUGAGUGCAAAGGCAGCAAGGCAACAAACACUACAGUAACCACCUCUCGGUUCACAGUCCUCUCCCAAGGGACCAGAAACGCAUCUUCCACCUUGAAUCCUGGGACUCCCAAUUGUCCUGCUAGGGUCUCAAAGCCUCUGCUUCCAAGCUCUCAGCUGCCUGCCCACCUCCUGGGGAAGAAGCGCGCAGUGCUUUGCCUGGUAACACCCACUGCACCCCUGCCCCGCGGCAGCCUGCGGUCCCUAACUGCUCUCCGAGGGCCUCAAGAGUUCCUGACAGCAGGCAUGUCAAUUACGGGAGGAGGGAGGGUGAGACGCCAAAAUCAGGUUGAAGAGGUCCCACCACACACGGGCACACACACACACCACGGACUUUUGAUGAGAAAUCUCCUCUCCAAAGCGGACAAUAAAACACUGCAAAACAAACACAGCACACACCCUUGAGAUCCACCUGCACCUUCUCCCUGCCCGACUCCACCUCAUACACUAACUCCAAGCCAGCCUGUCUCAGAAUUCCUUAGUCAACAUUUUUUUUGUAAGACUGCAAAAACAGACAAGAAACAAUAAAAAGACAGAUUUUCUUUACACAGAUUUAAGCCAAUAAUUUUUAGCAAAAUGAUACAAAACUGUCUUAACCAAGUAGAAGAUUGGUAGUUACAGUGGAAUCGUCAGGGAGUACAGGGCGGCCACCACUGGAGGGAGCUGAGGCCCUGGAAAAGGAGUCUGAUUCUCUGCAAUUCUCUCUCUGCUUUUCUUCCCAGCCCCGUUACAACCGAGUUCACGUGGGGGGCCGCAGUGCAGCCCCAGCGGUGGCAGCUCUUGGAGUCUGUCCGUUUAGUAUGUUUCCCCCACGAGCGUCGCUGGGUGAGUGGCCUGGAGAGCUCCCGGUGUUAACAUUUCGAUCCUAGACCGGGGGACGUGUCACUAGUAAAGCCAUUGGUAACAGAGUAGAUCAGCCAUGCAUUGUCUGCCCUUCACAGCAAUAAGGAGAGUUCUCAUCGGUGCACGACAGACUGAAGACCACUGGAAGCCACCCGACCAGGAAUCUGUCGGAGCCAAAGCACAGGAGAAGGUCAGCAUGGGGCUGGGGGAGCCGGCCAGGCAGAUACCACAGUGACGGUGCUGGGCAGGGAGGGGACGCACAGGGGCCUCUGUGGCUGGGACACGUGCUCAGCAGAACGAGUGACAGGAAGACGGGAAGGAGGAAGAGGCAUGCAAGCAAGGUGCCCGCGGAGCCGGGCUCGGCAGGGUCGAAGGAUCCGAGUGGAGCGGAGACGGGUGCUCCUGCCUCCCUUCCUGGAAAGGAACCUGGUGUUUGAAAAUGGGUACCCCUCUCAGGGAAGACAUGAAAAGCAGUUCCUGUCAACACAUUUCCAGAGUGUGCACAGUGUGAAAACUGCAGCGGGUCUCCCAGCGGCACAGACCCGACAGAAGCGCAAGCCCCUGCUGGAAGGAGCCGCCGAGCGCGCGUGGCCGCCGAGGAGGGAGCACAGCGUGGACGCCGGCCAUGCACCGACGGCGGGGAGUGAGUGGGCUGCGGCUGGAGGAGUUAAUACAGACGAAGCUGCGUGGACAAGACGGCUGGGCAGAGACCAAGUGUGAAAAGAA